rnacentral:lncRNA from 1 species
GCCGAUUUUUUUUAUUUCAAAAAAGUAAAAUAACAAAAAAACAAAAAUUCUAAACGGACAUUCCUAAGAACACACAUCAAAAGAAAAGAUAACAACAAUUAUAAGUAUAAGGAAAGCAAACAUGUAUUAAUGUACAUGUUAUAAGUACAAUAGUUGGUCGAAUGCAGGGUAAACAUCAUUUAGGUAUUGUAUUUAACGAUGUGUAUAUGGCGUAUUUGUUAACUUUUAGCGGGUUUGAAAUGAUUAAUUGUUUAUAAGUAACAAAUAUUUCUCGAAUCGCAGCACUGUAGUACAAGGAGUAAACAACAAACGUUCAAUUAUAUCCACACAAAUGAAUGUAGAAACCACUCUGGCCUGUAGAUCCUGACAUUUUAUUAAUGUUUAUAUGUUCUAAUAUUAAACGAGCUUUAUUACUUUAUAGUAAUAGUUAUUUUAACUUUAGUCGUCAGCUGGGUUUUUUAACCUCAAUCCUUCUGUUUUUUGUUUUGUUUUUAUUUUUCAAGUUGGGAAAACGAAAAAUCACCAAAAUACUGAACUCAGAGAAAAAUUCAAUCGGAAAGUCCAUAAUCAUAUGGCAAAAUCAAAUGACUAAACACAUAAAAAACUAAUGGACAAGAACUGUCAUAUUCCUGACUUGGUACAGGCAUUUUCAAAUGUAGAAAAUAGUGGAUUAAACCUGGUUUUAAAGCGAUAAAC